rnacentral:rRNA from 1 species
AGAGAGUGCGAGCGUUAAUCGGAAUCACUGGGCGUAAAGCGCGCGUAGGUGGAUAGUUAAGUCGGAUGUGAAAGCCCUGGGCUCAACCUAGGAACUGCAUUCGAUACUGGCUAUCUAGAGUAUAGUAGAGGGAAGUGGAAUUUCCGGUGUAGCGGUGAAAUGCGUAGAUAUCGGAAGGAACACCAGUGGCGAAGGCGGCUUCCUGGACUAAUACUGACACUGAGGCGCGAAAGCGUGGGUAGCAAACAGGAUUAGAGACCCUGGUAGUCCACGCCGUAAACGAUGAGAACUAGCUGUCGGUCCCGCAAUUUACUUUUAAGACAAGAGCAAAUUGCGGGAUUGGUAGCGCAGCUAACGCGUUAAGUUCUCCGCCUGGGGAGUACGGCCGCAAGGCUAAAACUCAAAGGAAUUGACGGGGGCCCGCACAAGCGGUGGAGCAUGUGGUUUAAUUCGAUGCAACGCGAAGAACCUUACCUACCCUUGACAUACUCGGAAUCCUCUAGAGAUAGAGGAGUGCCUUCGGGAAUCGAGAUACAGGUGCUGCAUGGCUGUCGUCAGCUCGUGUCGUGAGAUGUUGGGUUAAGUCCCGUAACGAGCGCAACCCUUACCCUUAGUUGCCAGCGGUUCGGCCGGGAACUCUAAGGGGACUGCCGGUGAUAAACCGGAGGAAGGUGGGGACGAUGUCAAGUCAUCAUGGCCCUUACGGGUAGGGCUACACACGUGCUACAAUGGGCAGUACAGAGGGUCGCGAAGCCGCAAGGUGGAGCUAAUCCCACAAAGCUGCUCUCAGUCCGGAUUGGAGUCUGCAACUCGACUCCAUGAAGCCGGAAUCGCUAGUAAUCGCGAAUCAGAAUGUCGCGGUGAAUACGUUCCCGGGCCUUGCACACACCGCCCGUC